CAAUAGCGUAUAUUUAAGUUGUUGCAGUUUAAAAGCUCGUAGUUGGAUUUCGGGUGGGAAUGGCCGGUCCGCCGUUUCGGUGUGCACUUGCUACGCCCACCUUGCUGCCGGGGACGUGCUCUUGAGUUCACGCUCGGGACACGGAGUCGGCGAGGUUACUUUGAGUAAAUUAGAGUGUUCAAAGCAGGCCUACGCUCUGAAUACAUUAGCAUGGAAUAACACGAUAGGACUCUGGCCUAUCUUGCUGGUCUGUAGGACCGGAGUAAUGAUUAAGAGGGACAGUCGGGGGCAUUCGUAUUUCAUUGUCAGAGGUGAAAUUCUUGGAUUUAUGAAAGACGAACUACUGCGAAAGCAUUUGCCAAGGAUGUUUUCAUUAA
rnacentral:rRNA from 1 species